rnacentral:tRNA from 1 species
UGGGGGAUCGUCUAAUGGUAGGACACGAGACUCUGGCUCUCGGUGUCUAGGUUCGAGUCCUAGUCCCCCAGCCA